rnacentral:sRNA from 1 species
AAUGUUAAAUUAUAUUCAAAGAAAAAAUAUCGUUGUUACAACAAGGUACAAUACAAUCAUCACAACUUUUUUGCUGUA